AGCAGAAUGGCGCGGUGGGAGAGUGCUGAGCUCAUAACCCAGAGGUCUGUGGAUCGAAAUCACGCUCUGCUA
rnacentral:tRNA from 1 species